rfam:Apis mellifera strain DH4 linkage group 2, whole genome shotgun sequence.
AUGGACCCUAAUGCAGCUGCUGGCCACUGCACAAGAUUAGACAUAAGACUCUUGUGCGUGUGACAGCGGCUAUGAUGGGGUUUCCACGAAACAAC